UUCUUUUUCCUUGUUGAAAUCUCACGCCGAGUCCUCCUCGCGUGCCCUAGCCUUCCAACUCGCACCGAGCCACCAUUUCUGCCCAAAACCGCUCGGAGGCGGUUUCUUCUCCUCUUCCCCUCUCUUCUUCUCCUCUACCGAUCGUCGCUGUGCCCUAGCCGACUUCACUCUCCUCCGCGCCGAUCUUCCAUCGCCAGCCACUCGAGUAGUGCCGCCCACCCCGACCGCCGUGCCCUAAGUCCUUUUUGGAUCUGCGCGCCAACGCCGAUCACCGACCGUAGGAACUCCAGUCGCCUGUGCCCUAGCCGGUGCCACCACAGUCCUCUUCCUCAGCCUUAGCGUCACUUCUCGCGACGCCGUCCAAGGGAAGACAGAUUCAAGGACAGAGAGUUCGGUGCCUUGGUUGUUGGCCACAGGUUUUUGGUUCCAAUCUACUGUCGAAGGGUAAGACAGCAAUUAACCUUUGCUGGCAGCAACAAAACCUUGUGUGGAUCAACAAUCAAGGCUGUGAAUAGAGGACUUUGAUUCGAGACGGUAUCUCGACGGGUAUCUCGAUUAGCGUAUUGGACUAUUUCGAUUGGAGACGGGUACUUUGACUUAUGUCUUUUGAUAUGCAUAAUAAUGUGUUUAACAUAUAGCAAUAAUUGUGUGAUCCAUUUAUUUCGGUUGGUCACUACAUGAUCUGUUACA